GCAGUUCCUGUUGAUCCUGCAGGAGAUUGCUGCUAUCAGGGUUCGACUAAGCCAUGCAAGUCCUGGGGCUCUUCGGAGCACCGGCACACUGCUCAGUAACACGUUGAUAAUCUACCCUUAGGUCUGGGAUAACCUCGGGAAACUGAGGCUAAGACCGGAUAGGAAACCAGUUCUGGAAAGAAGUGUUUCCCAAAGGCAACGCCUAAGGAUGAGUUAGCGGCCGAUUAGAUUGUUGGUGGGGUAAAGGCCCACCAAGUCUGUGAUCGGUAGGGGCCUUGAGAGAGGGAGCCCCGAGAAGGGAACUGAGAUAC
rnacentral:rRNA from 1 species